GCUAAAUGUUUUUUUUUUAAAGCUGGUUGUUUAACCGCAUGCAUAGACUUGGAGUGGGAGGAAUUCCCUUCACCCUACCUCUUGUUGGAAGAACCUACCAAAAAAGCGGACCAUCGAUAAAAGCUAUUUGAGCAACCAGCCCAAUGGAAACAGGGAUGUACACUGUCACAAACAAUGGUCCUUCAUCAAGCCGCGACAAUUUAACCGGAUCGUAUCCACAGAAGAACAAAGGGGAUGUGGUGUUUGCAAGUUAGCCCUGGACCCAGUGAGAAGGCUGCCGCAGUCAACAUGGAUGUGGGGUGAUGUGGGAACUGGGAGGCUAUUCUUGCCGACUGGGGGCUCUGAGCGAAUACUUUGUACUGUAGUUCAUCCUACUGGACUAUUCCUACGGCAAUUUAAGCACCUUCAAGCGCAGACUUCACUGACAGCACUGUGUGGUGGUGUCUCCUUCUAUUCCAGUGGGGGAAAAAAGCACCGCUCCUGCUCUCAAAACAUGACAAGAACUGCCAGCGACGGAUUUGCUAGCGCAACGACACAAGACAGUUUCUCAGGUUGGAGAAAACUAAACACAGGCUACGCAUGCGUACUGCAAACGGAAUAUAUUUAAAGGUGAAGCUCGUCAGGAUGGUGAGAGCUGCCAGGCUGGGGAAUCUGACGGAUCAGGGCUUUGGUGGAAUAUACAUUUAAGUGAUGCAGCGGGGCUGAGUGAAAUCUGAGAUGUGCUUCUGUUUCUGUCUAUAAUACAGUACAGAUGGUGAUUCAGUGGCAGAUGGAGCACAGUUUCUUCAGCUGGUUGGUGUAAGUUUAAAGCAUGAAUUUAGCUGGAGCCAUCCACACUUCCACAUCUACGCCUACAGGUGGCAGCGUUGCACAGGGACUUCAAGAGAUGGAUCUGCAGAAAUGAGAAAGUGGGGUGCAGACUUCACCACACAGAUAUACAGAAGCUACAGUCAACUACAGCAGUAGAACUACAGGAAUGUCAGAUUACUGAGAC